rnacentral:lncRNA from 1 species
CCCGCAGGAUUCUUCAGCAAGAAUGCCCGAUCUCGCGACCCCAUCGACCAGCUUAAAUCAUUGCUCUAGCUGUAACACACAGAAGAUUAUAAAUCAUCCGUUUCAGUGGUGAUUAAACAGACAAGUUCCAUCAACAAGAUUUGCACAUUUAACAAAUACCCAAAACCCCAGAAGCUUAAAAGAUUCAAUUCAAACCAAAACAGUAACAAACAUAGGUAAGAAAAAUAAAGGACUCUUUAAACUUUAUGUAAGAUUAAAAGGUGCAAAAUGAAUCGGCACAGGAGCUCCUGAAAUUUGAGCCAAAACGAAAGGCUUGAAAGUUUGAGCAAAACGUUAUAGAGUAAACUCAUCUCUAUUUGAGACCUUUCCAAUUAUAUUUCAAAUUAAUCACUAGGAAUUGCCCAUUUAACAAAUCCUUCAAAAUCAAACCAAAACAGAGAAAAAAAACUGAAACUUGAGUAAAAAUGUAAGGCGUAAGACUUUGAGCAAUAAAGUUAGUCAUAUUCAAACUAAUCACAAGGAUUUGCCCAUUUAACAAAUACUCUGAUUAAACCCAUAACCUCAAGGCAAAGUGGUUUCUUCUUCAACUUAACACUAAUAGUCUAAAAUUUCCAUAUACUAAUAAACAAGUCUUACAAGUUCAAUAGCUGAGAUAUGAAUAUGCAAAAUCAAAAUCUAAACCUUAUUACCAUUCACCGACAAUUACAAGUUCGAUAGUCGAAAUAUGAAGAUUGAACAUCAAAAUUCCAACUUUAAUAGUGCAUACGAGCAAUCUACAAGUUUGGUAGCUGAAAUACAAAGAUUAAAUACAAAAUUGAAACUUUUCG